rnacentral:tRNA from 1 species
GCGGGAGUAGCUCAGUGGUAGAGCCCGAGCCUUCCAAGCUCGUUACGCGGGUUCGAUUCCCGUCUCCCGCU